rnacentral:lncRNA from 1 species
AGUUGUCUGAUAUUUCUCCUUUUGUGGUUGUUUUAGGGAAAAACUUAAAAUGGAUAUGAAAAGUGAAGAAAGUGAUCAUAGGAGAAAACCAUUUCAGGUGUCUGAUGAUUUGUGAGCCUCAAGUGACUACUCUGUGGAAUCACCUGUCCUUGCCUUUGAAUUAGCUUUCCGUAGGCCAUGAGUCAACAUUAGUAGUUUAUACAUCCAAAUUGAUGACAAGAGCACCUCAAAGGCAGCAGCCUCAAGAAGCAGCCAUGGCCCCAGAGUUGUCCCACGGAUGCAGAAAACUUAAUGGAGGAGGCUGAGCAAAACAGAGCGUGACACUCCCAAUCAUCUGCAUGCUGGAAAUGAGGAAAUGUGGUUAUUGAAUGAUACAAGUGCCUUUCGAUCAUUUGGAAAGUUCUGUUUCCCAAGAUCGUUUUUUUGUUUGCUUGUUUGUUUGUUUGUUUGUUUUUUGAGACGGUGUCUCCCUCUGUCACCCAGGCUGGAGUGCAGUGGCACGAUCUUGGCUCACCUCAAUCUCCGCCUCCUGGGUUCAAGUGAUUCU